CCAUGUUUAUAUUGUUUAAUCUUGGAUUACCACCUUUCUUUUUCAUGGUUGUUGUGGGUUUUUCCUGGCUUUUUGGCCGUGUUCUGAAGGUUGUUCUUCCUGACGUUUCACCAGUCUCUGUGGCUGGCAUCUUCAGAGGACAGGAGUAGGAACUCUGGGCUCUUAUUUUUCAUCUUGAACAAUUGUGUGGUAGUUAUGUACAUCAUGCUCUUGUAUCUAUCGAAUGUGAGCAGUGUAUAUAAAGUAUAGUUUGCUUACCAAGACAAACAUUUCUUUAUGCUCAGGAAGGAAAGAAUUCAGAACUUUAAAAAUCAGAACAUGGAUGAAAGCAAAAAUGACUGAUUUUCUCAACCUGACCUCUGUCUAUUUUCAUCAUUGAAAUAGCUUACCUGGUGCACAGGUGUGAGGCUUUUUUUGGCUCUUUGCUUCUCUUCUUGCUUUUGUGAUUUUUGAUGCAGUGGCUGUGGAUGCUCCACCUCAGAGAAAGCCUGCUUCCAAAUUAAAUAAAGCUCCGCAAUAGGGAGAGGUGUGUGUACAAAUGUAUUUAAAAAUGCCAAAAUAGAUAAAUAGGGGUGGGGGUGGGGACUUUGGUUUAAGUCACAUUUCCAGUUCACUCUGCUAAAAAUGUUCACCCAGACAACCCUCAAUCAUACCUGCUCCAGUUUGCUUCCACAGGCAGCAUCAAAGAGAUACUUGGUUGGCUGUUUGUAGCAUCAUCCCAUUGUGACAUCACCAUGCUGAGUGGUCUCUGCUAAGGUGGGAUACUUCAUGGGACCGGUUGUGAAGGAUAAGCAGACAGCUGCCAGGGCUAAACACUGGAACUACAGAAACAACAGUAACACUGAGAGGUUUUGUUUUCUAGUAGAUCAUUGGAAAGAUUUAAGCUGUUUUCAUCUGAUUUUUCAUGCACCGGAUUAUAAAAUUACUACUCUACAUAAAGAUUUCAGUGACCUAAAAAUGGAGGUCUUUAUAUUGAAUAACUUUGCUGCUUCUCAUGUGGCAGGUUAAAAGAUGGGCAGAAAAACUCUUCCGCCUCCAAAAAGACCAAUAAGAGAUUUCUUAAUUUAUAGCAAUCCACUGCCAAAAGUUACACUGUCUGCAUAACUGCGCAACAGGAUCUCAGUCAAUCAAUUUCAUUGAUUUUGCCCUGUGCAAAGCGACAUGACAAAUAUACACAUACAUCAAAGCUUUAUGAAGCCUAUUUUUCACUAGUGUCCAUUUCUCACUGGGUGUCUUUUUGAACUGCUUAUGGAAAUGCAUAAACAGCAGGCCGAGGCAAAGAGGCUGUCCCAAAAAUAUAUAUUUUUUAAUUUAACAAAAUGGAUUCAAAAGUAUUCAGUGAUUUCAGGAUUUCAAAAUAAAUAAAUAAAUAAAUAAAAAAUCCUGGAAGAA
rnacentral:lncRNA from 1 species